CGGGUAGCGGAACACGUACACAACCUUCCGAUAAGUGGGGAAUAGCCCAGAGAAAUUUGGAUUAAUACCCCGUAACAUAUAGAGUAGGCAUCUUCUUUAUAUUAUAGCUUCGGCGCUUAUUGAUGGGUGUGCGUCUGAUUAGGUAGUUGGCGGGGUAACGGCCCACCAAGCCUACGAUCAGUAGCUGAUGUGAGAGCAUGAUCAGCCACACGGGCACUGGGACACGGGCCCG
rnacentral:rRNA from 1 species